AUAUAUAUAUAUAUAUAUAUACAUUUAUAUAUAAAUUUACAGUGGCGCCCUUUAAUUUAAGAACACUAGUAGAUAAAUAUUAAAAUGGCAUUUUCUAAAUAUAUUCUAGUUGUAAAUCUGAAUUAAGAAGCCUAUCAAAACCAGCAUAUAAAUAUUAAAUUAAAAAUAAACUUUAUUUUGUGUAAUUUAUGUUGCCACUGAAUUGAAGAGUGAUCUCCCAAAUUUUGGGGGAUCUUUUUGCCGUAUUGACUAACAUAAAGGUAGAGUAAUUUGUAUGCUGUUACAAUAUUUAAGUUAGUCAAUAGUUGUGAUGGGUCAGAGACAAAAGUUAACACCAGAAACCAGAGUGAAGAUCGUUCAGGCUUAGUAGGCUGAAAUAGUCAUACAAAACUAUUUUAAAUGAAGUUGGAUGAGCUAAAACAGCUGUCUAGAUUGCUCUCUGUUGUUAUAAAGAAACUAAUGAUUGCAAAGACAACUCUGAACCUGGGCAACCAAGAAAAACAAUGGCAGGAAUGGAUAGAUAUACUGAUAGACUGUCCCUAAAAAAAUGUAAAAUGACUGCUGUUGACAUUUUUGAAAGAAAUUCGGCAAAAAUAUGGACUUACCAUAAAAUGCUGUCUCAAAGAAUUUGGACUUCUAGGAAGAGUCUCUUGGAAAAAGCCAUAUAUUUCUUUUAAAAAAUCAACAUGCCUGAAUACAGUUUGCAAAAGAGUAAGCCAGCAGAUCGGUCGAAUGUGUUGUCGGACAAGUCAAAGCUCAACUUGUUCAGCAGUGAUGGCAGGAAGUAUGUAAGAAAGCAUAUAGGCAAAGAAUUAUUAGGAGCACUCCAUCGGUUACGACGAUGAGGGUCCCAGCUGAUACGAUCAACGGAACAGCUUGCUCGUGGAAUUAACGUGCAAGUGGCUGAGCAUUCCACAGACACGUGUACCCUUAAAGUAGUUCUCAAGGAGAUUCAACGUGACACAGAGUGUGACAAGGCUGGCCCUUUGAAAUACAGGUACAACAGAAACAGGAAGAAAAAGUGAGAGAAAGUUGUGGUGAAAAAGUACAGCAGGGUUCACCACCACCUCCUGCCUGAGCCUUGUGAAGCUUUAGGUGUUUUCGCUCAAUAAACACUCACAAUGCCCGGUCUGGGAAUCAAAACCGCGAUCCUACGACCGUGAGUCCGCUGCCCUAACCACAGGGCCAUUGCGCCUCCACAGGCAAAGAAUAUCAUCCAGAAUGCAUCCAACCUACAAUUAAGCAUAGUGUUGGGGUGCAUAUCUGGAAAAGGCAUCGGUCCUAUAAUCUAAAUCAAGGGCAUUAUGGAUAGUAAGUUCCUAUCUAGAAAUAUUGGAUAAAACUAUGUUUCUAUAUGCCCGAAAGCAUUUGGGGUGAUCUUGGGUAGAGCUGUGCAAAGUAGUAAGCCAAAAAAUAAGGAUGAUUUUUGUAACAUUAUCAGCCAAAAUUGGGGAAAAAAUCUCAGGAACAGUGAUAAAUGCUCUGAACAAUUCUAUGUUUCGCAGAUGCAAAGCUGUGUUAAGUAACUUUGGAUACCCAAACAAAUACUGAUUGUGUGAGCUUAUUACUGUUUUUUUGUUGAUCUCAGAAUAAAUUUUUUUUUGGCAAAAAAAUGAAAUUUUACAAAUCGUUCUUAAAUUAAAUGGCUCUAUAAAUUAUGAUAAUUAAGCUCUAUUUUUAAUUUUAAAUUAAUAUGUUGAUGUUAUGCUGUAAAGUUGUAUACAAUAUUAAAGUUUGUGAAAUUUUCUUUAUUUUGAUAUACAUCUUAAUUCACAAUUUACAACUUG
rnacentral:lncRNA from 1 species